CCAUUUGUAAUAAGUAUAAAUGUAGGUGAGAUAUUUUUCUCACCUACCGAGAUUCAUUUGUAUCCUUUCAUUCUCUGUAAAGAGAGUUCCUGAAUGCUCUGACUUCUCUCUACUUUCUCUCUCUAGAAUUUUUAUGGUUUCUCGAUCUAAUCUGAAUGUUUACAUGGUAUCAGAGUCUCGACGACGAUCCGAUCAUGUUUCUGUGUGCUUCGUGGUCCUGGAUGAAGUCUGUUUCGAGGUUUUUGGGGGUGAUUUCUGAGACCUCAGGGUCGAUGAAGAUUUCAACCUAAUGGAGACCUUUCUAAGGUUCUCAUCGUGAUAUCCAAGUGUGUUUCACUCUGCUGAACAUUCUGGAUAGAUUUUGGCGAUUUCAACCAAUCGGAGACCUUUCUGAGUGUCUCAUCGUGAUAUCCGAGUGUAUUUUACUCUACUGAACAUUCUGGAAAGAUUGUCUGAUGAUUUUUGGUUAGUUGAUUUUGGGUGACUUAUCGGCUUCUAGGGUUUCUGACGGUUUAACAUGAGGUUUUACUGUAUUCCGGCGACUCGAUUAUCACUUUGUGGAUGUUUUAGGUGCUUUUCCGACGUUCCUAACCAGAUUUCCGGUAAAGUUUGUUUUCAAGGUUGCACCUAGGGUUUGAUACCUAGGGUUUCUCUGUUGUUUGAAGGCCGAUCUUCUCCGGUCGCGAAGAAGAAGGGUAACUCUGUCCUUAUCUUCGGUAUUAUAUGUGAUUAUUUGACUCUGUUCUUAUGAGCAUCUGGUGUUGUCUGUGAAUAUUUGACCUGACUGUAGUCUGUUUGUUGGUCUUUGUGUUUGAAUACCUGUUUUGGUAGUAUUGUGUUUGUUGAAAAGUUGUUCAUUUAAGCCGGUUCUUUAACUAUGGCUUCUAGCACAAACAUUGGUCCCUCUCCUACUGUAGACUCUUCUAAUCCCCUUUUUGUGUACUCGUCUGAUGUCCCUGGGGUAUCACUUGUUCCUACUCCCUUCUCGGCUAGUGGUUAUAGGGGCUGGAAACGCAAAAUGAUUGUUGCCUUAACAGCCAAAAACAAAAUCAGUUUUGUUGAUGGCACAUACACCCGACAUGCCACCAAUGUGGCUCAACAAAGGUUGUGGGAGGUGCAAGAGCAUGGUGAUCUCUUGGUUGAUUGCUUCUCUUUCCCCUGCAAUUGCUGAAUCUGUGCAGUAUGCCUCCACUGCUGUAGACUCUUCUAGUCCCCUUUUUGUAUACUCCUCUGAUGUCCCUGGGGUAUCACUUGUUCCCACUCCCUUCUCGGGUAGUGGCUAUGGGGGCUGGAGACGUAAAAUGCUGAUUGCCUUAACAGCCAAAAACCAAAUCAGUUUUGUUGACGGCACAUACACCCGACCUACCAAUGUGGUUCAACAAAGGUUGUGGGAUAGGUGUAAC
rnacentral:lncRNA from 1 species